rnacentral:rRNA from 1 species
GCGCAAGUGACGGUACCUGCAGAAGAAGCACCGGCUAACUACGUGCCAGCAGCCGCGGUAAUACGUAGGGUGCGAGCGUUGUCCGGAAUUACUGGGCGUAAAGAGCUCGUAGGCGGUUUGUCACGUCGUCUGUGAAAUCCCUCGGCUUAACCGGGGGCGUGCAGGCGAUACGGGCAGACUUGAGUACUACAGGGGAGACUGGAAUUCCUGGUGUAGCGGUGAAAUGCGCAGAUAUCAGGAGGAACACCGGUGGCGAAGGCGGGUCUCUGGGUAGUAACUGACGCUGAGGAGCGAAAGCAUGGGUAGCGAACAGGAUUAGAUACCCUGGUAGUCCAUGCCGUAAACGGUGGGCGCUAGGUGUGGGGUCCUUCCACGGACUCCGUGCCGUAGCUAACGCAUUAAGCGCCCCGCCUGGGGAGUACGGCCGCAAGGCUAAAACUCAA